CUCAGGCGAUCUGCCCUCCUCGGCCUCCCAAAAUGCUAGGAUUACAGACGUAAGCCACCAGGCCCUGCCCAGAUACACCUUUGAAAAGUUCUUCCUCCUGGUGGGAGACGGGUUGGGAGGCAGUAAGAUAAACUAAGGUGAUAUAAGUCAUUGAGGAGAUGAAAUGGGGCCAUGUGGUCACCUGACCCCAGGGCAGAUGGAGGGCAUGGGGACUGCCACAGGAAGGGACAAUGGGAUGAACUCCACAGGGCGAGAAGGGGCAGCCUGCGAGAGACGGGGGGGUCUGAGGCCCAGUGAGGGCAGGCUGGGGGGUUGGCUUGGGGGCUGUACUAGGUCAGGGCCGUGGACUCUGUUGUUGGAUUUGUGAUGAUAUCCUAGCGUUGCCCCCACUCAGCAUGUGAUGUGCUCGGGUGGAUUCUCUCCCAAGCCCAGCUUCAUGGGCUGAAAAAAGGGUGAACUGUGGAGGGGAGAUGAAAGGAUACACUCCACAGCCUUCAGCUCCCUGGGCUGAAGUUUGCCCGGAGCAGUGUCCCUGAAAGUGGGAGAGGUUGGCAGUGGUCCACAGGUGCACGCUGGGUGGGUGCCCUUUCCCCCAGAGAGCCGCAGCCUUACGUAACCAGAGCCCCUGGGGCAGUGCCUGCCUCCCGGGGGCCAUCUCAGGCUGAGGGCCGCCACCUCCGCCCUGCGAUUCACAGCCCCUGGCAAUGUUUUUCUCUUCUUAGACAUUGAUAAUCCAACCGCCAAGCUUUCUUGGAGUUUUUGGCUUUCCAAGAUGGGAGUGGGUUGCAGGCAAGAGGGCUUUCCAAGUGGACAAACUUUAUUCCCUCUGGUUUGUGUAGAAACUCAGGCAGCGGGCAGGCCUGGGAGGUGCCGGUGCCCCUGCCCCUGUCCCAUCUCCACCACCUGCACGUUUUAAGAUCCUCUGCGGCCACCAGACCCUGCCAGCCCCGGGGCCGGCGGGACCCUGCGCCCCUCAAGACGCUCCUCUUUAUUUUAGUGCCCCUCUCAGCUGAGGAGGAACCGAGAGCGGCGCUGGGGCACCUGAGCCCAGGAAGGCAAGCAGGCCGGCCGGGACCGCGAGUGCCUGGCGGAGCAGGCGCAGCCCAGGACUCCCGGCUCCCACCUCCGGCUGUAGUCCAGGGCCAAGGCUUGUGUUCAAUCGUGUGAAUGGCCGGCGGGCCCCCUCCACGUCCCCAUCCCUCGAGGGGACCCAGGAGACCUACACACUGGCCCACGAGGAGAAUGUCCGCUUUGUGUCCGAAGCCUGGCAGCAGGUGCAGCAGCAGCUGGAUGGUGGCCCAGCCGGUGAGGGCAGGCCAAGGCCUGUGCAGUACGUGGAGAGGACCCCCAAUCCCCGGCUGCAGAACUUCGUGCCCAUUGACCUGGACGAGUGGUGGGCACAACAGUUCCUGGCGAGAAUCACCAGCUGUUCCUAGUGGCUGCUGGGAGAGGGCGCUGCUGCACAGCCGACCUGUGGCCAGGAGAGAAGCAUGAUGCCCCACCCACCCACUGCGCCUGGCUGGGUGCCGGCCACACCUGAAGUGCCAGCAUUUGGACUUUUGCACCUGUUGUUCCCUUGGCCCGGCUGUCCCAACCAAGCUGCCAUGGCCAGGGGCCGAACCCAUCUGACCUCAGCCCUGCUCACUGUGCCCAGGGACCAGCGACCGGCCCCUGGGGCUGGUGGGGAGGAGCUCCAGGCUAAUAAAGUCGAGAAACUG